AACAUCUAAGAUUUUUAAUUAUCUUAAAGAAUCUUGAUAAAUGUUUUUAUUUGCAAUUUAAACAUCUAAGAGUAGUAGACUGACAAUUAGCUAGCCUUCAUUUUGCUUCGUUGUUAUCGUUCAUGGAAAUCGGGCCUCUAAGGUGUUGUCGCCCACAUUUGUUCUUGUAAAAUUUAGACACUUCUCAUAUGAUCAAUUACUUGUGUUUCCGGCACUCAUAA